rnacentral:lncRNA from 1 species
AACUAUUUCAAUCCAAUUUUUGAUGAUUUUCCAAGUUCAGAACAGGGGAACCCGAAUAUAUUCUGACUUUGUCUCACAAAAUUCAUUAUAUCUCAUGAUUUACAAAUCCAUUGCUUACACCGUUUCUUCUAUGAGAAACUAGACUCAAUAAGAUUUAAUUUCAUAUUUUUUUCAUCUUCUAAUUCGAUUUCUACAAUUUAUGGUGAUUUUUCAAAUUUACUCUACUGCUGCUGUACAAUAUUGUUUUAGUGCAAGCUAUUUAUUACCAUUUUUUUCCCUUAAGCUUUAAUAAAUAACAAUUUCGUCCCUACUCAAUUAGUCUCUCAAUUGAGCUGAUUUUUCUCAAUUAACACUUUAUUAUAUCACUUUAAACUACUUUACAACUUUUGGAAAUCAUAAUUUCAGCACUAGACUUUAAUUCCAAACAUUAUCACAACUAGGUCCUAAAAUCAAUUUCCAUUAAUUUUACUUAAAAAAAUUAUCAUAAAUCAAAAUUAAAGCUUCAAUUCUAUGUUUAUUCAUCAUAUGUUUCCAGCACUCAUCCAUAAGAAAUUUAAAUAUUAGCCCUUCAACGUAGAACUUAUGAAUUACUUAACUUGAAUUUCUAUCAAUUAAACCCUUAUUUCAUCAUUUUACUCAACAUGAACAUUAUCUAGAAAUCUAUUAACUUUCAAAAUAUCAACUUAAUUUUAUCAAAAUCUUAUUUCAAAGCUUCUAAAACAUCAAAAUUAAGUAAAAAUGGCUAAAUUAACUUACCUAUUAAACUUCCAAACAUUACACCUUCAAUUUUCCCUUUUCUUCUUUCUUUUCUCUUUUUCAUUCUUUCCUUCCCCUGCUCUCUGUUUCGUUUGCUUUGUUUUCUUC